UAUACACAGGAGUGGUUCGGGUGGGAAAGGUUUUUAUUCCUGGAUUGCCAGCUCCCUCUCUGACGAUGUCCAACACAAUGCCUCGGCCCAGUACUCCACUAGAUGGCGUUAGUACUCCAAAGCCUCUUAGUAAACUCCUUGGAUCAUUGGACGAGGUAAGAAAAGGACCAGGUGUUGCCAAAAAGUUACCAUUUUUUAAAGAAGUUUGGUUAAACAUUAGUUCUUUCCAUGGUUAACUUAAUUUUAGUUUCUACUUGCAGAAUAAAUGUUUUCAAACAGAAGUGAUUCAGUUAACAUACACUGACCUCCCUUGUGAUGUAUGUGAUACUUUUUGAAGGUGCUGGAGAGAUGGAAAUGAUACAUUCUUUUCCAUCUAGGGAUCUCACAAUUGUGUGGAGUUGAUGUACUGUCUGCAUAAGAAAUUAGAAUUUAAGAAAGACUCAUGACUCAGUAAUGUGGAAAAGAGAGUACCAUCGUUGAUUGACUGAUGGGAAGAUACCAUCCAAUGGGAGGCCAUGGCAAAAUCAAAGCCUCAUCUCUGAGAGACAUGUCCGUCUUCGUUUGGACCUUGGGGUUGAGUAGGAUAUCUGUUGGUAGAAAGGAGCAUUCAGGGCAAGGAGAAACCACACAGGCACAGGCAGGAAGGCCAGAUAAUGCGGAACAUUUUUUAAUGGAUAUUUGUAUCUUCAUCUCCUAGUCAUAAGGACUCAAUAAAUCUGUAGAAUAAAUACUUAUAAAAGUACAAGUAGUCUGUAGGGUGAGGCAGGAUAGGGUUUGGAUAACAAUAAUAACCUUUUUUGAGCAUUUUCUAUGUGCUAGGCAUUGUUCUCAGUGCUUUAUUAGUAUUAAUUAUUUCCUUAGAACAGCUUUAUUGAGAAGAUAGUACUAUGAUUCUUUUUUUUACAAAUGAGAUAGAGGUUACAAAUGAAAUAAACCUACUAAGUGGUAGAACUGGGAUUUACACUCUUACCAAUGUGCUCUUAAAGGGAGAAAGGAUGAAAAGGUGGUUUUCUUCUGAAUGCAAUUGACAGGGCAUUACAGGAUUUUGAGAAAGGAGUUAUGAGGUUUUGGAUCUGUGUUGUAAAUAGGUGUAUUUUGGGAUUAAAGAUAAGGAGACCAGUUAGCCUCCAAGUGAGGUUGUCUGUGUCAGUUUAAGAAGUAUGAGAGGGUCUGAGCUAGGGCAGUAUAUGUGUGGAAAGGAGGGAUUAAUAUGAGAGGCCUUGAGAGGUGGAAAUGAGUUUGUCAGCUGAUUGGUUUUGUGCUGCUGGGCUGGGGAAAGGUGAUGUGGAACGAGGCUCCGAAUUCUCUGAACGACCUGGGAAGGUACCUGGAUUUACCAAGUUAGGAAGCCUGGAGAAAAGUGGUUUGUAUUUAAAGGACAUGUGAGUGUGGAUGUUUAGGGACGGUUCAAAGGGAAGGUUAGUGCUAUCAGUUGUAUUUGAUAAUGUCUAUGUCUUCAUUAUAUUUUUAAACAUGUGCCACAUUGAAUUUUUUUUCCUUCAAACCAGCACAUUUGCAGAACAUUGAAAGGGGGAACUGGAGAAGUGUCAGAGUGUUUUGUGUGAUUUGGAAGAAUUUCUUUUAUAAUGGAAAAUGGUUUCCAACUUUUUUAGAAUUCUAUAAGCCUGGUAAUAGUGCCUUUUUGAUAGGUGUAAGGUCAUGGAAAUGAUAGUCUAACACAUUGGCUGAUGGCUUUUCCACUUCUCUGGAAGAUUUUGC
rnacentral:lncRNA from 1 species